GCUGAUGUUUCUUUCCUGAGUUGCUCUCUGAAACUUAAUUACUUCAAAGCACCAAUCCGUAUGAAUACUGAAUAAUAUCCCAUGCCCCCACCAAAAUGCUUACUGGAAAAAUGGUUCUUGCAAGGAGUUGUAGGCCGAAAUAUGGAAGAGUUUAUGCAAGGGCAAAGUGUUCACCAUUGAUUAUUAAGAUUGUUAAAUAUGUAGAAAAGGUUCCAGUUGGGACCUAAGAUUAUAUAAUUCUCCUCUUGUUUUCUCACUGCUAU
rnacentral:lncRNA from 1 species